rnacentral:rRNA from 1 species
UGCAUGGACAACCUGCCCUCGAGAUGGGGAUAACUCUUCGAAAGGGGAGCUAAUACCCAAUAAGACCACGGAUCACAUGUUCCGCGGUCAAAGAUAGCUUUGCCUUCGCUUGAGGAGGGGUCCAUGUCCUAUUAGCUUGUUGGUGGGGUAAGAGCCCACCAAGGCUGUGAUGGGUAGCCGGGCUGAGAGGCUGGCCGGCCACACUGGGACUGAGACACUGCCCAG